AGGCUAUUCUCGAACUCCAGAUC
rnacentral:piRNA from 1 species